AGAUGCAAGCUUUAGAAGCAGAGGCGAACAGAGAUUUCACAGUGAUUUCAGAGCCGGCAGAGUGGGGAAGAAGCAGCACAGCAAGGAUAGGAUGUUCAUCGCACCCCCUUCAAGCAACUUCCUUUCUGUUGAUGCGCGGUUUCAUUUACUUCGUUUGAAUAUCCGGUGUGCACAACUGAUGGGAGUAUAUGAUAAAUUGGUUUGAAAAUUUACUGG